rnacentral:rRNA from 1 species
AGCGGCAGACGGGAGAGUAACACGUGGGAACGUACCCUUCAGUUCGGAACAACCCAGGGAAACUUGGGCUAAUACCGAAUACGUCCGUAAGGAGAAAGAUUUAUCGCUGAAGGAUCGGCCCGCGUCUGAUUAGCUUGUUGGUGAGGUAAUGGCUCACCAAGGCGACGAUCAGUAGCUGGUCUAAGAGGAUGAUCAGCCUCACUGGGACUGAGACACGGCCCAGACUCCUACGGGAGGCAGCAGUGGGGAAUAUUGGACAAUGGGCGCAAGCCUGAUCCAGCCAUGCCGCGUGGAUGAUGAAGGCCCUAGGGUUGUAAAGUCCUUUCGGCGGGGAAGAUAAUGACGGUACCCGCAGAAGAAGCCCCGGCUAACUUCGUGCCAGCAGCCGCGGUAAUACGAAGGGGGCUAGCGUUGCUCGGAAUCACUGGGCGUAAAGCGCACGUAGGCGGCUUUCUAAGUCAGAGGUGAAAUCCUGGAGCUCAACUCCAGAACUGCCUUUGAUACUGAGAAGCUUGAGUCCGGGAGAGGUGAGUGGAACUGCGAGUGUAGAGGUGAAAUUCGUAGAUAUUCGCAAGAACACCAGUGGCGAAGGCGGCUCACUGGCCCGGUACUGACGCUGAGGUGCGAAAGCGUGGGGAGCAAUCAGGAUUAGAUACCCUGGUAGUCCACGCCGUAAACGAUGGAUGCUAGCCGUUGUCGGGUUUACCCGUCAGUGGCGCAGCUAACGCAUUAAGCAUCCCGCCUGGGGAGUACGGUCGCAAGAUUAAAACUCAAAGGAAUUGACGGGGGCCCGCACAAGCGGUGGAGCAUGUGGUUCAAUUCGA